ACGUUAAUUAGUUUCGUUUGAUUAUUCAUGGCUUUUAUUUAUGUGAAAUAUCUAUUUUCGGGUUACAUUUAUUAUUUUACGAAGCUACUUCUGACCUAUUAAAUUAAAUUUCAGGAUAUAUCGAAACUCAAUCAAUUGUUUUCCAGCCAUUAGUGUAUUUUACUUUUUAUUUUAGUUCAAUAUUGUUUUCGGGCAGAUAGUCUGCUCUGUUCGCUCCAACUUUCACCGAAACAGUGACUUAUCUUGGUCCUUUGUUACAUCAUUCGAUAUCCUUCGAACAAGAAAAUUACGUGACCCGAAAGAAAAAUAUUUGAGCAUCAGAAAGGAGAAGAUAUCUUGAAUUUCGGUUUACCGUUUUCAGACAUCAUCAUAAAUUGUCAAUUUAAGGUCCUAGUAACUGGUACAUAAAAUGUACAACAGUUAGGGUGCGGAGAGUGACCUUCAGUUCACCUUCAAGAUCCCGCAGUACCUUUCUGUGUGGACGCUGCCGGAAGCGAGGUGCUCUGGCAAGGCGAUCUAAGAAAGGAUACUUGACUACGGUAAACUAAGAACACACCCGCAUUUACAGCCUUGCUCGGAUUCAGUAACCCCAGUUGCUGGGAAGCGAUCCGGUGAAGCCUUCAUUGUUUCUUUUUAACUAAUUUACAUCGGUGAAGUCUUAAUUGUUUCUUUUUAACUAAUUUAAAUCGCUGAAGCCUUUAUUGUUUCUUUUUAACUAAUUCAAAUUUAUUUUCUUUGUGUAACUUUCUCGUGUGCUCGGUAUACCUACCGACACACCUGUAACAUUGUACCUGACCACUCACUAGAACUUAGUAAAAUAUUGUAAUCAUUUUAACCUUAAUAUGUGUGUGGAAUAAACACAACAUUGAUAUUUUCAA